AUAACAUAGCCUGUAUCUAAUACCUAACACAUUUAGGUGCUUACAAUAAAUAACCUCUUUAAUGGAAUGGUUUUCAAAAAUAUAGUCUAUGGUUCAUAAAUGUUUUCAUCCGGUUCUGGAAAACAUGUGACUGAAUUUUUUAUAGUUAUAAUACAUUAUUUUAAAAUGCACUUUGCUAUCUAAUACCUUUAAAAAAAUCCCACUUUUCUAUUUUUUUUAAAUGAAGGAUACAGCGUAUUUCCACAAUCUGAGCUAAAACCAAAAUGGACAAGGAUAAAUGGAGGGUUUAAGGAAGAGGUUAUCCUUUCUCCUCCUGGGAAUGUUUUCACAGCCCUGAUUGUAAUGUUGGACUUGCUGAGAAGUCUAUGACAGAAGUUCACAGAUCUCCCUCCUCCCACCCCUCUGUUUUCUCUAAUUCACUUAUUUUGUAAUCCUACAGAUCUUGAGCAACACUUUCUGGGAUGCUUACAGAUAUCACUACAGUGAAUUCAUAUAUUGAAAAAUAUGUAAACCUCCUUACAAAACUGGUACACCAUAAAUAUGAUAAAACGCUAUUUUUUGUUUUAAAAUGUACUUUUAAAUUUUAAUUGUGUUCAUGGGAGGGGCAUUUGCACAUGAGUGAAACUGCCCCAGAAGCCAACACUAGGGAUUGGAUCUACUGGCCCUGGAGUUCUAGGUGGCUGUGAGCCGCUGGCUGAGCAUAGGUGCUCUCUGAACUGAGCUCAGGCCCUCAGCAAGAGCUCCAUUCACACUUAACCAGUUGAGCCACCUCUCCCACCUCAGCUUGCAUGGAUCUCUCACCAGCAGACCCCCUGUGUUGCCUUUUUUUUCUGUAGUUGAAGAAACGUAAUUAUAAUGUUAAUUUCAUAUGCACAAAAUAAAUCUACAGUGGUCUAUGUCAUUAUAAAAUACCUAUGAAAGGACAUUUUUCAAGCUGUUCUUUUAGAUCAUGAGGAAUUCAGUGUCUUCCUCUGUUCCAGAGCAUCGAUGGGGUCUGUGAAUCUGGAAUUCUUUUCUCUGUCUUUCUUUGGGGUUCAGCCAAUGAGAGGCCCUGCUGGGGGAGUGGAGGAAAAUGAAGGAAUUGGAGCAACUGUGUUCCUUUCCAGUUGGCCACAUGUACAGCUGGGCAGUCAUCUCUUUAGACUCAGAAUUCAUCAACACUUUAAACUUCUCCUUCAUUCUUAGCUGCAGCCUUAGGUUAGGGAAGGGCUUGUAAUAACAAAGCACAUGAUAUUUGGGGAAAAAGAAGAAGUGUAGCCAAGAAUUGUAGAGUCUGUUACACAUAUAUGCUUGGUCUACUCUUUGGUUGGUGGCUCACUCCCCGAGAGCUCCCAGGGAUCCUGGUCUCUGGCGCUGCUUCCUACCGUAAGUCAGAAAUGAAUUUUUUAAAAUAAGCACUUGUACUUUGAACCAUAAAACAAAAUCUGAGGCAGAAAUCAGAAGGAAGAAGCCGUGUCCGCUGACUAGGCAAGACAUGUGACAGAACUCAGACGGAAGGGACAAAGGACACACUGCUUGGUGCGAACAGUUGGUUCACACGAAGGCACAGAUGCCAUGACAGGUGAAGACUGAAGGCUAUUCACAGAAUUAGUCCACCACAGAGAAGAGGAAGGAGAUGGAUGUUAACCAUUGCUUCGUGGUGUCAUUGAUGCUUCCAGUCAUCUGUGUGAAACCCAGAUUCAUUAGCUUCCUCCUAGGGGUAGCUAUUCUCUCAGAAACAACAAUUCUAGUCUGACAAAAGAGGGGAAAAAAAGGAUGUUAUGGUAAAUGGAAACUCUGUUGUUUGAAAACAGCUCCGGUGUCUAGUGAAAAUUCAGGACAGACCUAGAUCCAGGGUUUGUCAGGUCCUCUAAAAUUCUUAAUAAAGUGCUUAGGACUA